ACCCGCUGAACUUAAGCAUAUCAAUAAGCGGAGGAAAAGAAACCAACAGGGAUUGCCUCAGUAACGGCGAGUGAAGCGGCAACAGCUCAAAUUUGAAAUCUGGCCCUUUCAGGGUCCGAGUUGUAAUUUGUAGAGGAUGCUUCGGGUACGGCUCCGGUCUAAGUUCCUUGGAACAGGACGUCAUAGAGGGUGAGAAUCCCGUAUGUGACUGGCCGCCACGCCCGUGUGAAGCUCCUUCGACGAGUCGAGUUGUUUGGGAAUGCAGCUCAAAAUGGGUGGUAAAUUUCAUCUAAAGCUAAAUAUUGGCCAGAGACCGAUAGCGCACAAGUAGAGUGAUCGAAAGAUGAAAAGCACUUUGGAAAGAGAGUUAAACAGUACGUGAAAUUGUUGAAAGGGAAGCGCUUGCAAUCAGACUUGCCCGCGGGUGAUCAGCCGGUAUUCUUACCGGUGCACUCGCCCGUGGUCAGGCCAGCAUCGGUUUGGGCGGUUGGAUAAAGUCCCCCGGAACGUAGCUCCCUUCGGGGAGUGUUAUAGCCGGGGGUGCAAUGCAUCCUGCCCGGACUGAGGACCGCGCUUCGGCUAGGAUGCUGGCGUAAUGGUUGUAAGCGACCCGUCUUGAAACACGGACCA
rnacentral:rRNA from 1 species